rnacentral:rRNA from 1 species
AUUGAACGCUGGCGGAAGGCCUAACACAUGCAAGUCGAGCGGAUGAAGGGAGCUUGCUCCUGGAUUCAGCGGCGGACGGGUGAGUAAUGCCUAGGAAUCUGCCUGGUAGUGGGGGAUAACGUCCGGAAACGGGCGCUAAUACCGCAUACGUCCUGAGGGAGAAAGUGGGGGAUCUUCGGACCUCACGCUAUCAGAUGAGCCUAGGUCGGAUUAGCUAGUUGGUGGGGUAAAGGCCUACCAAGGCGACGAUCCGUAACUGGUCUGAGAGGAUGAUCAGUCACACUGGAACUGAGACACGGUCCAGACUCCUACGGGAGGCAGCAGUGGGGAAUAUUGGACAAUGGGCGAAAGCCUGAUCCAGCCAUGCCGCGUGUGUGAAGAAGGUCUUCGGAUUGUAAAGCACUUUAAGUUGGGAGGAAGGGCAGUAAGUUAAUACCUUGCUGUUUUGACGUUACCAACAGAAUAAGCACCGGCUAACUUCGUG